AGACCAAAGCCCACAUGGAACACAGAGGAUGUGGGCUGCUGGUGGUGCAAAGCCCCGCUCAGAGACCGGCACAUGGCACUGGGACCCAAGAGGUCCAGUGCUGGCGUUCCAGACCUGAGGCAGCUGACACAGGACAGAGGCAGCAGCCCAGGGCAGCGCUGCUCUCCUUCGCUCAGCAGCCACCUGAGAGCCCCAAGGCCACGGGAGGAAAGAGCCGCUGACAAAGGAAUUCACCCUGAAGAGCGGCUAAAGGAAGCCUGAAACUUGCCUGCUGGCAGAAGGCAGGGAGCAGAGCGGCCUCCAGCAUCAUGACUUCUCUCCCCAUGUCUCCACGUGGUCUGAAGGUUCUUAGAGCACCACCUUGUGUUUAAAUACAAGCUGUUCUGAGUCCCCAGUGGUUUCAUCCCAUUUAGAACCACAAGCAGACAGUAAACCAUCCCCAUCUCACCACGCUCAGGUGUUCCAAAAGGCACAGGAACUACUCUGCUCAGAACUGGGUUUUCAUCUCAGCGCUCUUUACAACCACACAGGACAGCACUAAGAAGUCCCGUACCCAAGCACAGCCCAAGGCCAAAAAGCUCCUUCCUAGUAUUCUUCUACAGCAGAAUUAAGGGGCAUAGAGAUGACCAUAAUGCUAAAUAACAUCUACAGACUGCAUUGCUCAAGGAGCUUUCAUACAGACGUGAGGAAAAUGAACGGGAGUGGAUGGCAAAAAAAACAAUCUCUCAGUUUGGUUUAAUAAUCCCUUGUAGGAAAAUCUGAAGAAUCAAGUUACUUACCCACACGCACAGCAGGCUGGGAGAAAUGAGCUUUAACCUUGCCAGAGUGAAGGCAAAUGAUGCUGCUUCCUAUUUAAUACACACAGUCAGCACAGUGCAAUGAGAUCCCCGUGAAAGGACGCACUGAGAAUCAACACCGAGAAGAGGGAAACUGUUCU